UCCAAUAUGACAAAGGUCACAGCUGUGACAGUAGAGGAAGAAAACUGAGAGAGAAAAUAGUGAUGUUUGACCUGAUCACAGCCUCACCUUCAAAUAUCAUUCCACCGUUUAUCAAACAAACAGGUGUGAAUGUGGUUUUUAUUGUGGAUCUACUUUCUGUGGUGGAUGGAUACGUAGAGAAACAGAUCAGUGGUGUGCCACAGUGUGAUAUUAGAUCACAUUUAAACUUAGAGGAUAUAAACUCAUCUCUACAUCAGCUCUCCUCCUCUCCACACAACCAGCCGACUUUGAUUGACAGUCGAGGAGGGGCAGGGCCAGGUGGGACAGGAAGUGUAUCCUGCAGGGGGCAGGAAGUGUGUUGUUUUGGAGCGACAUGCCAGCACAUCCAAACAGGAAGCAGGAACUCACUGAGACCUGACCUCUGACCUCUGUGACGCCCGACAUCAAAGAGAGGGACACACACACACACACACACACGCAGAGUCACUACUGUCCCUUAUUCUGCUCUGACCUGGUGCUGCCCCCUGGUGGUCUGACCGGUUCAUGACCGUGAGGUAAAUUUAUCUGACCAGUUUUUUUUUUUUCUCCUUAAAGCUUAAAUAUACUUUUUUUUUUUUUUACACAACCACAGAGAGAAAGAAAAAAAUAGAUAUAAAUUGAUGAAAGACAAACAGCACUAUCUGGUGGACAAAACUAGCCUUCACAUUAUCACACUUGUGAGAUUAAAGGUGGGGUAGGCAGGAUUCUAUUAAAGAAGCAUCUUUUUCGUGGUGUACACUACAGGCCAAAGGUUUGGAAGCAAGAUCAGAUUUGCAAAAAAAGAGACCAUAGUUUCAUAUAUAUAAUUUUCAACACAAUAAACAUGACUAUUAUGUAAAGAGUAACUUAUCAGAAGACAUUUUGAGUAUUAUUAUCAGGUAUUUGAGUUAUUGUUGCUUAGACUUUGCUUUCUGUAAAGAAACCUCCUCUGGCUCUGGCCAAGUUCAUUAAAAAGAUACUGCUGAUUCGCAGGACGCUUUUUUCUGACUGAUCGAUCUAAUUCAUCCCGCACAAGCUCAAUUGGAGAAAGGUCUGGAGACUGAGGGGGCCAAACCAUCUCUUGAAGAACACCUUCCUCUUCUCUUUUGUCUAGGUAACCCUGACAGAGCUCGGCAGAGUGCUUAGGGUCAUUGUCUUGCUGCAAAACAAACUUAUAAACCACAAGUCUGAGUCCAGAUGGAACAGCAUGGUGCUGGAGGAUGGAGUGGUACUGUCCCUUCUUCAUGAUGCCCUUUACUUCAAACAAAUCUCCUACUCCAUCACCUGCAAAACAUCCCCAUACCAUGGAACUACCACCUCCAUGCUGAAUUGUGGGUGUAACACAUGGUGCUUUCAGUCCUUCACCAGUUUGUCUGCGGACAUAGACUCUGCGUUUUGAACCAAACAGUGCAAACUUGUUUCUAGUCAUCAUAAAUCCAAUUUUUGUGAACCUUUGCCCACUCAUAUCUCUUUUCUUGUUCUGUGGACGAAGUGGUGUUUUUUUUGCAGAUACACAACCCUUCAGACCAGCCUUUCUCAAACGUCAUUUCACAGUUGUCAGAGAUAUGGGUUUCCACCUUGUCAUGUUGAUUUCCUCCCUUAUUUGUGGUGCUGUCUUUCACCGAUCUCUCUUACUGGUGACAAUGCUAUGUUUAUCCUCUGCUUUUGUAGAAAAUGGAGUAAAAUGGCGCAUUUCCAUGAAAGCAACAUCUGAUCAUGGAGUAAAUACAUCUAAAAAUACAUGAAACUCAUGCUGGAUUUUUAAAAAAGCAUUGUGAACAAAAACUUGAAGUUAGUCCCAACUGUUCAGCCUGUAAUGGCCUUGCUUCCAAACUUUUGGCCUGUAAUGUAUUUCCAAAAAAGCUUUAAAUAUCAAUAUCUAUUAAUGACAUUUGGUGAUAUAACGAUAUUUCUGUGUUCUCUUAUGUCUGUGUAGUCAACAUUUUAACAUUUUUGAGUGGCCUGCUCUUUCUAACUAAAGAGCCGGCAGCCCGCGUUUGGCUUGAGCGUGUGAUGACGUUUCCAGCUUUUCUAGCCAAUCAGACACGAAGGAGGCAGGACUUUCCCCUACCAUCGUACAAAAAAAAAAUAUCGCAGACCAGACGAGAGCUAAAAAGCCGGGUCAACAUAAACGAUGGGGGACGCUUCGGGAUCUUGGUGACCCUGUAACCUUUCUGGUGGACAGGUAAACCGCUUUAACAAAGUAAGACAAGUGUCUGCAACAGAAGUAUUCUUGUCAAAUGGGACCUGCUGUAGCAUGAUGUAGCACUGCUAAACUGUCCUCCCUCGGGUCCUGGACUAUGUCACUUUAUCCUAGUUGUAGAAGUCCUGCAAACUUUGUGUUUGCUGGUAGUCUGUUAGCAUCUACAGUAGCACCAAUGCUUUUUACUUUCACGUUGACUGGGACCCAUUUGUAAUUAUCUGAAGUAUUUAUCUACAUUAUAUCUGAAUUUAAUUGGAACGAUACGCGGGAGCAGGAGCGUCUGUUUGUGGGCGGGGCUUGCUGGAGCAGAGAGGGAGGGGAGAGGGGGAGCUGAGGGGAAAACUGGUUGGGAGGGGUAGAGCUUACAUUCAAGAUUUCUCCUAAAGCUGGAACUAACUCAGAUCCUGACUACACCACCCUUAGAUGAAGAAUUCAAAUGUACCGUUCUGUGGAUAAAGUGAUGUCAGUUUAUCAAAUGAAUAACAAACCAACUUCUUUAGUGAAUUAAUAAUUAGGUGCAAAAAUGAAAAUUUAACAUAUUCUAGUUUUUACCACAUAGUAAAAUGUCAGUCAAAUGAUGAAAAUGAAACCAUUCAAUCAAUAAAAAACUAAUUUCUUUAUGUUUGUAGGAUGUAAAUGUUUCUGUAUCAAAGAAAAAUAUCGUCCUGUAAUAAAACAGAGAGACGGACAAAAAGGUGGA